GGACUACCGGGGUAUCUAAUCCUGUUUGAUCCCCGCACUUUCGGGUCUGAGUGUCAGUGUUGGGCCAGAUCGCCGCCUUCGCCACCGGUGUUCCUCCAGAUAUCUACGUAUUUCACCACUACACCUGGAAUUCCACGAUCCUCUCCCACACUCAAGCUUCGCAGUAUCAAAAGCACUUCCUGGGUUAAGCCCAGGGCUUUCACUCCUGACUUACAAAGCCACCUACACCCGCUUUACGCCCAAUGAUUCCGAGCAACGCUUGGACCCCUCGUCUUACCGCGGCUGCUGGCAC
rnacentral:rRNA from 1 species